GGUUAACCGUAUAGGGGAGCCGGAGGGAAACCGAGUCUUAAUUGGGCGUUAAGUUGCAGGGUAUAGACCCGAAACCCGGUGAUCUAGCCAUGGGCAGGUUGAAGGUUGGGUAACACUAACUGGAGGACCGAACCGACUAAUGUUGAAAAAUUAGCGGAUGACCUGUGGCUGGGGGUGAAAGGCCAAUCAAACCGGGAGAUAGCUGGUUCUCCCCGAAAGCUAUUUAGGUAGCGCCUCGUGAAUUCAUCUCCGGGGGUAGAGCACUGUUUCGGCUAGGGGGCCAUCCCGGCUUACCAACCCGAUGCAAACUGCGAAUACCGGAGAAUGUUAUCACGGGAGACACACGGCGGGUGCUAACGUCCGUCGUGAAGAGGGAAACAACCCAGACCGCCAGCUAAGGUCCCAAAGUCAUGGUUAAGUGGGAAACGAUGUGGGAAGGCCCAGACAGCCAGGAUGUUGGCUUAGAAGCAGCCAUCAUUUAAAGAAAGCGUAAUAGCUCACUGGUCGAGUCGGCCUGCGCGGAAGAUGUAACGGGGCUAAACCAUGCACCGAAGCUGCGGCAGCGAACGUAUCACCCAAGACAACUUUACGGAGUUGACGAUUGACGGAGCGAAGCGACGUCAAAGCGUUCAUUAAAGUCGAGUUGGCUUAGGGAUACGUUCGUUGGGUAGGGGAGCGUUCUGUAAGCCUGUGAAGGUGUGUCGUGAGGCAUGCUGGAGGUAUCAGAAGUGCGAAUGCUGACAUAAGUAACGAUAAAGCGGGUGAAAAGCCCGCUCGCCGGAAGACCAAGGGUUCCUGUCCAACGUUAAUCGGGGCAGGGUGAGUCGACCCCUAAGGCGAGGCCGAAAGGCGUAGUCGAUGGGAAACGGGUUAAUAUUCCCGUACUUGGUGUUACUGCGAAGGGGGGACGGAGAAGGCUAUGUUGGCCGGGCGACGGUUGUCCCGGUUUAAGCGUGUAGGUGUGUGUUCCAGGUAAAUCCGGUUCACUUUAACACUGAGGCGUGACGACGAGGCACUACGGUGCUGAAGCAACAAAUGCCCUGCUUCCAGGAAAA
rnacentral:rRNA from 1 species